AGUCGUAACAAGGUUUCCGUAGGUGAACCUGCGGAAGGAUCAUUGCACACACAAGUUGCAGCAAACCCCUUUGCGAAUCUUACCAUUGUCCAACCCCGCACACUGUGUUUGUUUGUUUUGUUAGGGGGGCUGUCUUGGCCCUUCUCUCAACAACAACAACAUGGUGUGUUAUCCCAACCGAUUGCACUCUGCAUCAACACCUCCAAUAUGACUGAGUAUAAAAACAAAAGGACCGUAAAAAAGUCCUUGAGUUGUAAUAAACAAAAACAACUCUCAGCAACGGAUAUCUUGGCUCUU
rnacentral:misc_RNA from 1 species